rnacentral:rRNA from 1 species
GAUGAACGCUGACAGAAUGCUUAACACAUGCAAGUCUUUGGCGAAUCUGUGCUUGCACAGGCUAGCCAAGGCGGACGGGUGAGUAACGCGUAAAGAACUUGCCCUGCAGACAGGGAUAACAGACGGAAACGACUGAUAACACCUGAUACAGUUGCCGGCACGCAUGUGCCUGGCAAUGAAAAGAGAUGCUGCAGGAGAGCUUUGCGUCCUAUUAGCUUGUUGGUGAGGUGACGGCUCACCAAGGCGAUGAUAGGUAGCCGGCCUGAGAGGGUGAACGGCCACAAGGGGACUGAGAUACGGCCCUUACUCCUACGGGAGGCAGCAGUGGGGAAUAUUGGACAUUGGGGGCAACCCUGAUCCAGCAUUUCUGUGUGCACGAAGAAGGUUUUCGGAUUGUAAAGUGCUUUCAGCAGGGAAGAAGAAAGUGACGGUACCUGCAGAAGAAGCGACGGCUAAAUACGUG